CUUAUUUCUUUAAUUAACAUUUAUCAACUUUUUUCUCUUGUUCUAUUGUUUUUCCUGUUCUUACCAUAAAGUAGUCACUUGUUCAACUGGUUCAUUCAAUCCUCCAAAUUUGCCUGUUUCUGGGUAUUGCCUUUAAUUUUACCAUUGUUAUCCUUGUUUUGUCAUUAUAGAAGAGGCAUUAAGUGAUCUUGUUUGUGUCUUUGUUGUUGUAUCACCCACACAAAUUGAAAAGCAAGAAAAAGAAAGAUUAUCUUUUCUAAUUUUUCCCCCUCUUCCCCCACUAAAAUAUAAAAGCAUGUGUAUUAGUCAGGGUUCUUUAGAA
rnacentral:lncRNA from 1 species